rnacentral:rRNA from 1 species
CCUACGGGUGGCAGCAGUGAGGAAUAUUGGUCAAUGGGCGUAAGCCUGAACCAGCCAAGUCGCGUGAGGGAUGAAGGUUCUAUGGAUCGUAAACCUCUUUUAUAAGGGAAUAAAGUGCGGGACGUGUCCCGUUUUGUAUGUACCUUAUGAAUAAGGAUCGGCUAACUCCGUGCCAGCAGCCGCGGUAAUACGGAGGAUCCGAGCGUUAUCCGGAUUUAUUGGGUUUAAAGGGUGCGUAGGCGGCUUUUUAAGUCAGCGGUGAAAGUCUGUGGCUUAACCAUGGAAGUGCCGUUGAAACUGUGAGGCUUGAGAGUGUAUGCGGUAGGCGGAAUGUAUGGUGUAGCGGUGAAAUGCUUAGAGAUCACACAGAACCCCGAUUGCGAAGGCAGCCUGCCAAGCCAUGUCUGACGCUGAUGCACGAAAGCGUGGGGAGCAAACAGGAUUAGAUACCCGUGUAGUC